rnacentral:rRNA from 1 species
UACGGAGGGUGCGAGCGUUGUCCGGAAUCACUGGGCGUAAAGGGCGCGUAGGUGGCGUCGCAAGUCAACGGUGAAAGCUCGACGCUCAACGUCGAGUCGGCCGUCGAGACUGCGAGGCUUGAGCACUGUAGAGGCAGAUGGAAUUCCGGGUGUAGCGGUGGAAUGCGUAGAGAUCCGGAAGAACACCGGUGGCGAAGGCGGUCUGCUGGGCAGUUGCUGACACUGAGGCGCGACAGCGUGGGGAGCAAACAGG